rnacentral:tRNA from 1 species
GGAGGGCUGUCCGAGCGGCCGAAGGAGCUGGUCUUGAAAACCAGUGUGCAGCAAUGUACCGUGGGUUCGAAUCCCACGCCCUCCGCCA